AAACGCUGGUUUCUCUUCAGAUUGCAUAAAUCUUUCGCUGUUUAUUAAAGAUUUCCGUGGAGAGGAAGAAUUUGGAGAAAGAAAAAAAAAAUCCAGUUUUACAAAUGUAUAUC
rnacentral:snRNA from 1 species